GAUUCUCAAUCUAACUUUUUUAAAUUGAUCAAUACUAAUUUCAGACUGAUCCGACCCACCGUACACCUUGAACCUAAACAAUCCGUGAAAUCACGAGUUCCACUUCUCAAGAAAAGAAUUUCAACGAAAACCAACCAACCAACCAACAAAUCCACGCGUGAUCCUUAUCCACUCUUCUCCAUCCUAUUGCAGCAGCCGGCUUGGUCCCCCCCUCCCCCCUCUCUCUCUCUCCAUAUACACACACAUGCAUAUAUGUAUGAUCGCACAUCAAAAGAGAAAAUAGCUAUUCUCCACAGCUCCACAACCCAAGUUUUCUUCUUCUUUUAGCUGCGUGAGCGGCAAUUGGCUGAUCUGAAACGGGGGAUGAUUACGGCCGAAAUCUGUGGGGAUUGGUGGAUUGGAAAUCAAUUUGCUCAUUCGAUCGUCUGGGAAGAGAAGAAAGAAAGUAGGGAUUUGAUUUCCAACUCCACCCAUUCCUAUGGUUUUUGGGAUUUCCCCCCCUUUUCAUCUCAUCCUUUUCUCAUGACUCUCUUUAAAUCAACAGGCUGCAAGUAAAACUUCUCAAACAAUUGACAGAUUGCCUGAGACUUGUGCCAGUUCUGUCACAGGGAUGCAUCCAUUAAAUCUGCAGAAUUCUGUGCACUCAAUCAAAGGUUCUGAAGGAUUUUUUUGCGGUGGUUAUCUCGGUUAGCUAUGACUCGUAAAAUCUAUUGAUCACAAUGAAACUAAGAUAAACAAAGAAAAUACACUGCGACUGCAUGACUCCGCGAAGGAUUAAAGCAUACGAAGCAAAUUGAGGUGGUAAUACAACCGUUUAUAAGCCGUCCCAGACUAUUCUUUACCCAGUAAUUUGGUCUGGUUCUGUUUGAAGUACAGAAUCGUUGGUUCCGAUCAACAGUUGCUAGGAAGAAAUUGGAAAAAAGCAAAGAGAGAGAGAGAAGAAAUGUAACUUUAUGCUAAUAGUUGAGGCAGCCCCUCUCAACCUUGGAAUGCUGUUACUUUGGACUGUACUAACUCCUCCUUAUAGCAACGUCUUUAUUUCUGCAGGAAAAGAAGAAGAAAUUGUCGAGAUUUUGGAGCUUGCUGAGUUCCUAAACCUCAGAGGUAUACAUGCACAACAGCGGAAACUAAACAAGAGCGUCUAGGAUUCUCAUGAGAGAGGCAGAUUUACUGCCAAACUAUGUCAAAAUUUACCAGCAGAACACCAUUAAAAAACCAAAAUUUGAACACCUCAA